ACUUGGUGAGCCACUGGGAAAUAGAGACAUUUGGCUGGGACGACGCAAAGCGGAUUUUGCUUUUGACUCUUAUUCAAUUUGUGCUUGUGUUGUUGUUGUUGCUGUUGUUGUCGCUGCUGUGGUUGCUAUUGUUGCAUUCAAUUGGAUUCGCCAGUGGGUGGUUAUACGGGGGCUGGGACGACCAGAAGCGGGUAAAGAGAAACAACAUUGAUGCAGCCAUCAGCCAUCAGCCAUCAGCCAUUCAGUCAUCCAAGAACACUUCCCUCUGUCAAUUUGUUCGUCAAACACCUCAGCGUGGCCGCCACCUUCUCCGCAUGCUCAUUCCCUCCCUCCUUCGUCUGCUCUGCGGUUGGUUAUGGAUGCCAUAAAGUGAAGCGAAGCCAUAGUAGCAUUACCCAUACCCCAUAACCCAUCCCCAAUCGUUUUCUGUUGGCGCCACCCUACGGCAAUCUAAGCAGCUGGAAAAAUUAUUUGCGGAGAUGCAGCGACACUGAUACCAGGCGUGUUUGUCUCCCACGCCAUUGCACUGGACAAAAAUAUUGGUUAAAAAUUCCUUAGGGUCCUUUAACAAGUCUUUCCUUUUCUAAUAAAUAAAUAAAUCUUAACUGUUUCUUAAGUGCACCCAACUUUCCAUGGUUUCAACUACAUAUAGCAGUGCGUGUGGCAGAGACAUAAAUUAAGACAUCGCUGGCCAAGGAGUUGCGUGUUUCAGGGACAAAUAGAACAGGGACAACAGCCGCAAAAAACGAGAUCUGCAUUCAAAGUUGGAAAGGUAAAAUUUUUGCCAUUUUUCGAAAAAAAUAGAUGAUGGUAUCCCAAAUCAGAAAAUGAAGUGCUCCCAAUACGUCGCUGGGUCUGUGAUCUGGCACCGGAGACGUCGUCCUCUUCGUUGGAUUUGAUCUUCCAGUGGCGGUAACUGAUGUAUGUUUUUAUAUGUAAGAAUCCAAUAUGCGAAAUCGAUUUAAUAAAAAUAUUAAAAAAACUAAUAUUGGCAUUUUAAUCUGCGAAUUAGAAUAAAGUUAGGAGUUUUAAAAAAUCUUAGCAUACUUUU